CGCAAUUCUAUAUUUUUCUUUUUCUCUUCUUUUGAUUCUUCUUCUAACUAUAUAUCACUUUGGUUUUGGACGUCGGUCUGAAAUUAUUAUUAUACGGGUAAGAGUUUCUCAAGGAUCCGAUGCUUCUCUACGGUGAAUUAACACUUUUCUAGUGUCGAUACUCGUAUUAUGUUUUUAGUUUCAUAGUUGAUGUUACUUUUUUUUUGUUUUCGUUUCUUGGUUCUUCUUGAGCUAUCUUGAAGUUAAUAAUAGUCGAAGGAGAAUGGUUUUAUAUAUGGAAGGUAUAACGCGAGAUAUUAGUGCGGCUCAAUCAAAUAGUCUGUCCUCUUAGCGUAUGGAGGUCGGUGUUGUUCGAUUGAGCCGUGCCAAUAUCACGCGGUUAGCCAGAAUGGUUAUCAUAUCCCUAACCCUAAUUGAAGGCUUCGAAGGAACGAGCAACACACAACCCAAAAAUCCAAGUACAACUGCGAUUAACACUUCUAUUUUUAGGAAGUAUUUAAGGAAUUACAAGUAUAGUAACAUGCUAAUAAGAGAGUAAAAGUACUAGCUAGAACGUAAUUGUUUGUUUUCGUUUUUCUAGUAUCCUGAUGAUAUUACGAAACAUAUAUAAUUAAGUAUCAAUUUGUAAUUAUCUUUGCAUUUGUGUCUAUAAUGUAACU